AUGGGAUGGAGCAGGAUCAUGCUCUUCCUCCUGUCAGUAACUACAGGUGUCCCCUCCCAGGUCCAACUGCAGCUACCUGGGGCUGAGCUGGUGAAACCUGGUUCCUCAGUGAAGUUGUCCUGUAAGGCUUCUGGCUACACCUUCACCAGCUACAAUAUUCAAUGGGUGAAGCAAAGUCCUGGACAGGGCCUGGAGUGGAUUGGAUAUAUUAAUCCUGGUAGUGGUUGUACUGGCUACAAUCAGAAGUUUAAGGACAAGGCCAAACUUACUGCAGACACAUCCUCCAGCAUGGUCUACAUGGAGCUCAGAAGCCUGACAUCUGAGGACUCUGUAGUCUAUUUCUGUGCAAGACACAGUGUUACAACCCACAUCCUUAGUGUGUCAGAAACCCUGUUGGAGCAGGAAUCUGCCCUGGGACUGGGAUGA